rnacentral:rRNA from 1 species
GGAUUAGAUACCCUGGUAGUCCACGCCGUAAACGAUGUCUACCAGUCGUUGGGACUCUUGAAGUCUUAGUGACGCAGUUAACGCACUAAGUAGACCGCCUGGGGAGUACGGCCGCAAGGUUAAAACUCAAAUGAAUUGACGGGGGCCCGCACAAGCGGUGGAGCAUGUGGUUUAAUUCGAUGCAACGCGAAGAACCUUACCUGGUCUUGACAUAUCCGGAAUCCUGCAGAGAUGCGGGAGUGCCUUCGGGAAUCGGAAUACAGGUGCUGCAUGGCUGUCGUCAGCUCGUGCCG